rnacentral:tRNA from 1 species
GACAACGUGGCCGAGUGGUUAAGGCGAUGCCCUGCUAUCUUGCAUAGAAAGGCAUUGUGUUCGCACGCGUAGGUUCGAAUCCUGCCGUUGUCG